AAAAAUAUGAUGACUUUGUUACCGCCCCAGACUGAAAGUUGAUGAAGGUAAUUCUGAUUUUGA
rnacentral:snoRNA from 1 species